rnacentral:rRNA from 1 species
CAGUCGCCGCGGUAAUACGUAGGUCCCGAGCGUUGUCCGGAUUUAUUGGGCGUAAAGCGAGCGCAGGCGGUUAGAUAAGUCUGAAGUUAAAGGCUGUGGCUUAACCAUAGUACGCUUUGGAAACUGUUUAACUUGAGUGCAAGAGGGGAGAGUGGAAUUCCAUGUGUAGCGGUGAAAUGCGUAGAGAUGUGGGGGAACACCAGUGGCGAAGGCGGCUCUCUGGCUUGUAACUGACGCUGAGGCUCGAAAGCGUGGGGAGCAGACAGGAUUAGAUACCCGCGUAGUCCCUGUCUCUUAUACA